rnacentral:rRNA from 1 species
AGUGGCGGACGGGUGAGUAACGCGUGAGAAUCUGCCUUGGGGUCGGGGACAACCACUGGAAACGGUGGCUAAUACCGGAUAAGCCGAUUGGUGAAAGAUUUAUUGCCCGAAGAGGAGCUCGCGUCUGAUUAGCUAGUUGGUGAGGUAAGAGCUCACCAAGGCAUCGAUCAGUAGCUGGUCUGAGAGGACGAUCAGCCACACUGGGACUGAGACACGGCCCAGACUCCUACGGGAGGCAGCAGUGGGGAAUUUUCCGCAAUGGGCGAAAGCCUGACGGAGCAAGACCGCGUGAGGGAGGAAGGCUCUUGGGUUGUAAACCUCUUUUCUCAGGGAAGAAGCUCUGACGGUACCUGAGGAAUCAGCCUCGGCUAACUCCGUGCCAGCAGCCGCGGUAAUACGGAGGAGGCAAGCGUUAUCCGGAAUUAUUGGGCGUAAAGCGUCCGCAGGUGGCGAUUCAAGUCUGCUGUCAAAGCACGGGGCUUAACUCCGUAAAGGCAGUGGAAACUGAAUAGCUAGAGUGCCGUAGGGGUAGAGGGAAUUCCCGGUGUAGCGGUGAAAUGCGUAGAGAUCGGGAAGAACAUCGGUGGCGAAAGCGCUCUACUGGACGGCAACUGACACUCAGGGACGAAAGCUAGGGGAGCGAAUGGGAUUAGAUACCCC